GGGAGGAUCUGCUAAGCUUGCCUUAGACACCAUUGAAAUGGCUAAGUAAGCCGCUCCUAAUUAAAAACCAUCGAUCAAAAUACUAAACUUAUCUUAGACACUAAUUGGUUAACUAGUUUCGAUUUGACCAACCUAAUGAUUCAGGUUCAACCAUUGAGCCACAAUCAAGGUUCAUUUGGUCUAAUCAAAGAUAUGAACUGGACUAUC
rnacentral:lncRNA from 1 species